rnacentral:piRNA from 1 species
CGGAACAAAGCUGGAUGGAGAAUGACUUU